AAGUCGUAACAAGGUAUCCGUAGGUGAACCUGCGGAUGGAUCAUUACAAUUAGUGGAAGUUUUCAACUUCAACGUACACUAAACAACAUGUGCACUGUUUGGGUGUAGCUUUAGCUAUACUCUAUUUUUUUACUAUUCUAAACUGAUUAUGCAUUAAUUAAACGAUGUAAAACUUUUAGCAACGGAUCUCUAGGCUCUC
rnacentral:misc_RNA from 1 species